UUUUUUUUUUUGAGCUUUCACAUCCGAAAGCUGGCAGUAGCAGGGUGACGGGCGACGGCGGCCUGCUACAGUGCAUCCGCAAUCCCCAUCUUCCCGACGAGGCGACGGCUACGCUGCUGCCUGCUGUGACAGGCUACGGCUGGAUGGGCAUGGCUACGAGCCUAUGACAGCUGAGACAGGCAACGGUCCUCCCCCUUCUCUCCGACUCCCCCCCCUUCUCCGGAAAGAAUAACAGCCAAAAUAAAGAUCAAGAGGAGUGUUUUUUUUUUGCUAAACAGCAGUCGGCAGAACCCUUCAAAGCAAAAAAAAAAAAAAAAAAACAGAGCGUACCUUCGGUUCUCCUCUCCGGCUCUCCCGAUCUCCCCUCAGUGCUUCUUCACUUCAGUUCUUCGGCCCUUCCCUAGUUCCCUUCUCUGCCGGCAGCCGGGAGGCUCGACCGUCGACGGCUUGAGGCUCGACCGCCCCUGCUUCGGACUCCGGAGUCCGGAUCUCCUCUCCAGCUCUGCUCGCCGUCCUCGGCUCCUCCGGGCUCCGGCCUCCGGCUCCGGCCUCCGUCCUCGGCUUCGGGCUCCGACUCCUCCGGCUCCUCCGGGCUCCGGGCUCCGGCCCCCGGCUCCUCUAAACUCUAGUCUCUAGGCUCUAACUCCGAGCCUCCGACCUCCGGGCUCUGCCGCUCCGCGGCUCCGGCCUCGUCGCCUCGUCGGCUCCGGCCUCGUCGCCUCGUCGGCUCCUCCCGUCCUCCGUUGGCAUCCCUAUUCCCAAAUCCCAAAUCCCAAAGGGCAAAGGCCAAAAUCAAAUCCCAGGCCGCAGACCGCAGUGGUUGGUUGUGAUUUCGGCGGUUCAGCCUCUUCUCAGUUCUCUCCGUCAAGUUCGGCACUAUUCGGCCUCUUCUCCCCGUCAAGUUCGGCACUACUUGUCGGGAUCUGAGUUUGU